rnacentral:snRNA from 1 species
UAAGUCACCUGGCGGGGACAUACCAUGAUCACAAAGGUGAUUUUCCCAGGGCGAGGUGUAUCCAUUGCACUCCAAUAUGCUGGCCCCCGCGUUCCCCAAAUGUGGGAAACUCAACUGCAUAAUUUGUGGUAGUGGAGGACGGUGUUCAAACUUUCUCCUG